GGAGAGGUGGCCGAGUGGCUGAAGGCGCUCCCCUGCUAAGGGAGUAUGCGGCUUAAUACCGCAUCGGGGGUUCGAAUCCCCCCCUCUUCGCCA
rnacentral:tRNA from 1 species